CCCUUAGAUGUACUGGGCCGCACGCGUGCUACACUGAUGCAUACAGCGAGUACUCCCAGCUCCGAGAGGCUGCUGGUAAUCAGCAAUAUGCAUCGUGAUGGGGAUAGAUCUUUGGAAUUAUAGAUCUUGAACGAGGAAUUCCUAGUAAUCGCAGGUCAUCACCCUGCGUUGACUAAGUCCCUGCCCUUUGUACACACCGCCCGUCGCUCCUACCGAUUUCGAGUGAUCCGGUGAAUCAUUCGGACCGCGGCCCCUAGGCAUGCGGAAAGUCUAGUAAACCAUAUCACUUAGAGGAAGGAGAAGUCGUAACA
rnacentral:rRNA from 1 species